AGUGAACGCUGGCGGUAGGCCUAACACAUGCAAGUCGAACGGCAGCACAGUAAGAGCUUGCUCUUACGGGUGGCGAGUGGCGGACGGGUGAGGAAUACAUCGGAAUCUACUUUUUCGUGGGGGAUAACGUAGGGAAACUUACGCUAAUACCGCAUAUGACCUACGGGUGAAAGCAGGGGAUCUUCGGACCUUGCGCGAUUGAAUGAGCCGAUGUCGGAUUAGCUAGUUGGCGGGGUAAAGGCCCACCAAGGCGACGAUCCGUAGCUGGUCUGAGAGGAUGAUAGGCCACACUGGAACUGAGACACGGUCCAGACUCCUACGGGAGGCAGCAGUCGGGAAUAUUGGGCAAUGGGCGCAAGCCUGACCCAGCCAUACCGCGUGGGUGAAGAAGGCCUUCGGGUUGUAAAGCCCUUUUGUUGGGAAAGAACAGCAGCAGGUUAAUACCCCGCUGUUCUGACGGUACCCAAAGAAUAAGCACCGGCUAACUUCGUG
rnacentral:rRNA from 1 species